ACGAAGGGGGCAAGCGUUGCUCGGAAUUACUGGGCGUAAAGGGCGUGUAGGCGGUUUUAUAAGUGAGGUGUGAAAUUCCUGGGCUCAACCUAGGGCGUGCACUUGAUACUAUAGAGCUAGAGUAUAAGAGAGGGCUGUGGAAUUCCCAGUGUAGAGGUGAAAUUCGUAGAUAUUGGGAAGAACACCGGUUGCGAAGGCGGCAGCCUGGCUUAUAACUGACGCUGAGGCGCGAAAGCGUGGGUAGCGAACAGG
rnacentral:rRNA from 1 species